rnacentral:rRNA from 1 species
GACGAACGCUGGCGGCGUGCCUAAUACAUGCAAGUCGAACGAGAGCGACCGGUGCUUGCACUGGUCAAUCUAGUGGCAAACGGGUGAGUAACACGUGGGUAACCUGCCCAUCAGAGGGGGAUAACAUCCGGACACGGACGCUAACACCGCAUAGGCCUUCGAGCCGCAUGGCUGGUAGAGGAAAAGAGGCGCAAGCUUCUGCUGACGGAUGGACCCGCGGUGCAUUUGCUAGUUGGUGAGGUAACGACUCACCAAGGUCGGUAUUCAUAGCCGACCUGCGGGGGGGAUAGGCGACAUGAGGACGGAGACACGGCCCUAGCGCCUGCGGGGGGGAGCAGUAGGGAAUCGGCCGCAAUGGUCGCAAGUCUGACGGAGCGGCGCCGCGUGAGAGAAGAAGGUUUUGGGAUCGUAAAACUCUGUUGUUAGUGAAGAACAGGUGCUAGAGUAACUGUUGGCGGCGUGACGGUAUCUGACCAGAAAGCCACGGCUAACUACGUG